GACGAACGCUGGCGGCGUGCUUAACACAUGCAAGUGGAGCGACGAACCGGGGCUUGCCCCGGGGCAGAGCCGCGAACGGGUGAGUAACACGUGGGUGUAUCUGCCCUGAUGAUCGGGACAACCCGUCGAAAGACGGGCUAAUACCGAAUGUGCCCGCAAGGGGAAGGGAGGCUUCGGCUUCCGCAUCGGGAUGAGCCCGCGGCCCAUUAGCUUGUUGGUGGGGUAAAGGCCUACCAAGGCGA
rnacentral:rRNA from 1 species